rnacentral:rRNA from 1 species
GACGAAGGAUCCAAGCGUUAUCCGGAUUCAUUGGGUUUAAAGGGUGCGUAGGCGGCCCGGUAAGUCAGUGGUGAAAUCUCCUUGCUUAACAAGGAAACUGCCAUUGAUACUGCUGGGCUUGAGUACAGAUGCUGUGGGUGGAAUAUGACAUGUAGUGGUGAAAUACAUAGAGAUGUCAUAGAACACCGAUUGCGAAGGCAGCUCACAAAACUGUAACUGACGCUGAGGCACGAAAGUGCGGGGAUCAAACAGG